UGAGGAAUAUUGGGCAAUGGGCGAGAGCCUGACCCAGCAACGCCGCGUGGAGGAAGACGGCCUUCGGGUUGUAAACUCCUUUUGACAGGGAAGAGAGAGGACGGUACCUGUCGAAUAAGUCACGGCUAACUACGUGCCAGCAGCCGCGGUAAUACGUAGGUGACAAGCGUUAUCCGGAAUUACUGGGCGUAAAGCGCACGCAGGCGGCUGCUUAAGUCUGACGUGAAAUCUCCUGGCUUAACUGGGAGGGGUCGUUGGAAACUGGGUGGCUUGAGGUGGUGAGAGGGGUGCAGAAUUCCCGGUGUAGUGGUGGAAUGCGUAGAUAUCGGGAGGAAUACCAGUGGCGAAAGCGGCACCCUGGCACUGACCUGACGCUCAUGUGCGAAAGCGUGGGGAGCAAACGGG
rnacentral:rRNA from 1 species